AACCUGAUCCAGCCAUGCCGCGUGUGUGAAGAAGGCCCUCGGGUUGUAAAGCACUUUCAGCGAGGAAGAACGCCUAGCGGUUAAUACCCGCUAGGAAAGACAUCACUCGCAGAAGAAGCACCGGCUAACUCCGUGCCAGCAGCCGCGGUAAUACGGAGGGUGCAAGCGUUAAUCGGAAUUACUGGGCGUAAAGCGCGCGUAGGUGGCUUGAUAAGCCGGUUGUGAAAGCCCCGGGCUCAACCUGGGAACGGCAUCCGGAACUGUCAAGCUAGAGUGCAGGAGAGGAAGGUAGAAUUCCCGGUGUAGCGGUGAAAUGCGUAGAGAUCGGGAGGAAUACCAGUGGCGAAGGCGGCCUUCUGGACUGACACUGACACUGAGGUGCGAAAGCGUGGGUAGCAAACAGGAUUAGAUACCCUGGUAGUCCACGCCGUAAACGAUGUCGACCAGCCGUUGGGUGCCUAGCGCACUUUGUGGCGAAGUUAACGCGAUAAGUCGACCGCCUGGGGAGUACG
rnacentral:rRNA from 1 species